rnacentral:rRNA from 1 species
GUAGUCAUAUGCUUGUCUCAAAGAUUAAGCCAUGCAUGUCUAAGUAUAAGCAAUCUAUACAGUGAAACUGCGAAUGGCUCAUUAAAUCAGUUAUCGUUUAUUUGAUGAUACCUUACUACAUGGAUAACCGUGGUAAUUCUAGAGCUAAUACAUGCAUAAAAGUCCCGACCUCUGGAAGGGAUGUAUUUAUUAGAUAAAAAACCAAUGCCUUCGGGCUCUUUGGUGAUUCAUAGUAACUUAACGAAUCGCAUAGCCUUGUGCUGGCGAUGGUUCAUUCAAAUUUCUGCCCUAUCAACUUUCGAUGGUAGGAUAUAGGCCUACCAUGGUUUCAACGGGUAACGGGGAAU